GCAACUGUGGCCGAGCGGUUAAGGCGUGAGAUUCAAGAGAAAUCUCUUUCCAGAUUUUCUGGAAUUCCUCAUGACGAAAGUCGCGUGGGUUCAAAUCCCACCGGUUGCA